rnacentral:lncRNA from 1 species
CCUCUUCGUCUUCAAUGAUCAUGUUGUGCAAAAUAAUGCACGUGAAAAGCUAAAAUAAAAUAUAGAAUUUUAAAAUUAAAAAUAUUACAACAAUUAAAAAUUAGGUGAAAAUUUAAAAAAAUAAAAUAAAAAAUUGGGAUUUUAAAAGACAAAAAAAACAAAAACAAAAAUUAAAAUUAAAAUCAAAAGCAAAACUAAAAACGAAAAUUUUAAAAGCCCAACCCCACCCAGCCGACAUCCCCUCUUCUUCCCCAACCCACCUUUUUUUUUCUCAUCUUUCCCCCAUUGUUGCACUGCUUCUUUUUUUUUUCUUCUUCUUUUUUCGCACUCUUCAUUUAUUUAUUUUUUUAUUAAAUCGGCGCGUGUAGCGCACGAUUUCGCCAAAAUCCGCCAACGGCCCACGUCUUGCCUUCGUCCCGGCUUCGACGCGCCCCGGAUCUCCAACGCGGCUGCCCCUCCUUCGUCCUGGAUCGACGCGGCAUCUCCAACCCGCGUUGGAGAUGCUCUAAGCUACUAAUAAACUAUAUCUUAUAAGCUC